rnacentral:misc_RNA from 1 species
GAUGAAGAACGCAGCGAAAUGCGAUAAGUAAUGCGAAUUGCAGAAUUUCCGUGAGUCAUCGAAUCUUUGAACGCACAUUGCGCCCACUGGUAUUCCGGUGGGCAUGCCUGUUCGAGCGUCAUUAUCCUCCCUCAAACCCCGGGUUUGGUGUUGGACCCAAGUUGUGUGAACAACUGGUCUCAAAGACAAUGACGGCGUCCGUGGGACCCUCGGUGCAACGAGCUUUUAGGAGCACGCAUCGAGUUGCAAGGACCUUCCGGGCCGGUCUCCUUUACCAUUUUACAACGUUGACCUCGGAUCAGGUAGGAAUACCCGCUGAACUUAAGCAUAUCAAUAAGCGGAGGA